rnacentral:rRNA from 1 species
GACGAACGCUGGCGGCGUGCUUAACACAUGCAAGUCGAACGGAAAGGCCCUGCUUGCAGGGUGCUCAAGUGGCGAACGGGUGAGUAACACGUGGGUGAUCUGCCCCUUACUUUGGGAUAAGCCUGGGAAACUGGGUCUAAUACUGGAUAGGACCAUGCUGUAGGUGGUGUGGUGGAAAGAUUAGUUUCGGUAAGGGAUGAGCUCGCGGCCUAUCAGCUUGUUGGUGGGGUAAUGGCCUACCAAGGCGUCGACGGGUAGCCGGCCUGAGAGGGUGGACGGCCAAAUUGGGACUGAGAGACGGCCCAGACUCCUACGGGAGGCAGCAGUGGGGAAUAGUGCACAAUGGGCGCAAGCCUGAUGCAGCGACGCCGCGUGGGGGAUGACGGCCUUCGGGUUGUAAACUCCUUUCAGCCAUGACGAAGCCCUUGUGGUGACGGUAGUGGUAGAAGAAGCACCGGCUAACUACGUG